GUGGAUAAAUGAUUAAACAAUGCCGUCAUCCAAAAAGUCGCUUUUGUUAGUGGUUUAUGUAUUGUGCACGUUCUGCGCUGCGCGCUCUGGGGACUUUGGAGACCCCAGACCCUGCUCUGGAUCACACUGUCCGGUGGGCAGAUCGUCCAGACCACCGCGACAGCACAAUCCGAUAACACAGAGCAGAUCAAUAAAUCACCAUCAUGCUCCCUCCAGCUUUCCAUCGGAACAUCACGCAACGCUUCUGUCCCAGCGCGCGCGGUCUGGAGACCAGACAAGGGAAACCGUCCAGACGCGCGUCGCUGGAGUUUUUGGUCCUGUAUGCGCAGACUGCGUUACGCCUCAAAGGCCAGAUCAUGUUAUGAACGACACCAGAGAAUGUAAAGGAACUGAGUGCCGUCUGCCUCUUAGGACACGACCGAACCCCAGACCGAGACCCUGUGCUGGAGAUGGGUGUGUGCUCGGGACCAGCCAGCCUCCCCUCAUCCAUGUGGCAGACAGAGCCGCUCAGUUUUUGGGGGAAUUUCCGGACACUGGAUAUCCCGCAUCAGAGAGUGGGGCUCCUCUGGGAGUUCAGCUCACUUGUGACAUCAAACCAGGAGAGAAUGAGGUCCCUGCCGAGGACGCACUUAUCCUGCAUCUACAGCUGGCAAAGGGACAAGAGAAGCUGGUGGAGGCUUUGAGAGCUCAACAAGUAGUGAUCCGGGAUCUGCAGCAGAGACUGGUGGAACAGCAGGGGGCCCUCCUCUCCCAGCAGCGUGAGAUACUCGACCAGCAGCGCCGCAUGUACGAGCAGAUGGAUGUGGUGAAGGCUCAGUACGGUCUGCUUUCUGAGACUGUCAAGCAGUUCUCGUUCAAAGGCUUGCAGGGAGAACUGCAAAGCCAUUUUGAAAGCCACCUGGCCGGCCUUCAGAGCCAAGCUCGUACCCACCUGCAAAAGUCCUAUGCUGUGCAUAAGGUAGAUGUGGAUUCCAAAGUGGUGAAUGUAGUUGGAGAUGCAGGGCACCCAGUGUUGGGCUGUCAAAUUGCUUGUGGGCCUGAAGAAUACUGCAACAUCCAGAAGGAUCCACCGCAGUGUGAAAGCUGCACUAUUUGUCCCCCUGGAUUCUUCCUGGUGUCACAGUGCUCCCCCAAUGCUGAUAGGAUGUGCCAGGACAGGGAUGAAUGCCUAGAAUUACCAAGCCUGUGUGGAAAGCGAGUAAAAUGUCUUAAUACUCCAGGUGGGUUUCGUUGUCACGGUGUCUCUGAGAGGGAGAUGUCCACAGGGCUGUGUGGUCAUGAGUACUUCUACAAUCAAGAACUUCAGGAGUGCCAGGCUUGUUCAGACUGUGAUGGCGAGCCUGUUGGCAUUCCUUGUACUUUCACCAGUGAUGCUGUAUGUGGAACUCUGACUGAGAACAUGCUCUCGCAGUCUUGGACGGCUUCGAUUGCCAUACCGCCUACAAAGUCGAAGAGCACUUCCAUCUAUCCAGGGCUACAGCUCAAUAUCCGUGGCAAAGCAGGAAACAACCUGUUGACCAACCAUGAUGAUUACCUCAACCUCCAACAACAUGGACUGGUCUGGAUAGACUACAACAUUGCACUAAAGCAUAGCUGCAGGAACUUUCUCCAAGUCGGGAUAUGGAUAAACGGCAGUGAAGAGGAGGGUAGAGACCUCAGCGGGGUUCGAAUUGAGCAGCCUGAAAGGAAGUUCUUCCAGGGUGUGACUGUAAGUGCAGCAGUUGAGGUGGAACCCAAUCAUACUCUGACAUUCAUGCUGAAGAGUCCCAACCAAUACUGCAACCAGAGUAAAGAUAUUCAAGCCUAUGAGCUUGGAGGAGCUUCGUUCAGCUUGCUCUGGCUAUCCCAUGACACCGGCGCUGUGGCCAUGACUGCACAGAUGUCCACAGCAGCCUACUACCAGAGUAACUAUCGCCCCACCUUCCGUAUAGCCACUGUCUCUGAUCCCUACAUAGUGGCUCUGACCCAUGACAGCCGUGGGGUUCGUUUCAUGGAGACUGGCGUGGUGAAGUUUGUUCUCCAACAGGCCAUCUAUUCAAUGGGCCAUUCUUGCGUUCGAGACGGUUUCACACUGAUUGCCUACAUCAACAGAAAUGGCACUAACCAGGAGGUGCUACGCUCCUUCAAGUCUGGCGUUAACUACAGAGACACCUCCAUCAACCUUUCUGGGGCCACAAGGGUAGACAGCGAAGACUGGCUCAAUUUUGAAAUUGUCGCCCCAUCUCAGUGCAAUGUCCGCUACUUUGGUGACAGUUCUGGGAUUAGUAUGCUGAGCUUGAUAUGGAUCCCUACUGCAGUCUCCUCCAUGUUCACAGCCACUGUCUCAAGAACAGGUCUACCUUCUGGGGCAGUGCGAAAUAAACCCCUGCUUUUUAGGCAGAUGAGCCCAAAUACAGACCAAAUGCGACUAGCUGGGUCAGGUGAGCCGCAUGCUCAGAGGAACUUUGUGUUUUCGGAGGUCGGGACGGUAAGUGUGGCACUCAACCUAAAACUGAUCCACUCCUGCAGUGUGGUCAAGCUGACCCUUUACCGGCAAGGUACAGAUGGAGGUCAGGCCACAUCCUUGGCCCAGCAGGUGGGUGGACAUAUGCCUGAAGGUAGUGAGUGGGCCAGCGUGGGGCUGAGAACUUCUUUUGAAGUGCAGAAUGGUACUGCUAUUUAUGUUUCUCUGGACUGCAUUCGUGGCCGGAUCAACCAGAUCACCCAUGAGGGCGGCACCAACAUCUCCAUUCUUUGGUUGGCAUCAUGAUCCCAAGUAUGCAAACUUAGAUCUAAGGUGCCAUAAUCAACUGAAAAAAUAUUUUGGAAAAAUUGGUGCUUUCAUAAGACAAAGUAGAGAACUUUAAACCGAUCGACUUUCCAAAAAUGGUUCAUUUUUAAUAGAUGAAAUGCACAGGUGCUAUUAAUACUCCUCUGGCAUUCAGAUUCUAUGUUUAUUGGCAUUAUGUGAGGAGCAAGGAGGGAUGUAUUUACAUUUUUUUUCUUGGCUAGAACAAUGAACUUAUAUAACCUUUAAAAAGUACUUUUUCAGUGCUUUGGCUGGUUGAGCAGUGACCAAUUUUUCCCAAGGGAGUAAUCCAUGUAAAUGUGUGCAUACAGUAUUUUGUGCAUGUUUGUAGAAAUUGUGUUUGUUAAAGAGAAAGAAUGUAUAUUUGUAAGCUGAUGUGAUGAUUUUGCUGCACUUUAUCAACACUGAGGUGCAGUAUGUUGUACAGUGCGCAAUUUUGUGUUUGCCCUUUUGAAACAACUGGGAUUCAAGUAAUAUAGCUUGAUUUAUAUGGAAGAUUAGAAUUAUAGAAAUAUUAUAGAAAUUAUAGAAAUCAAAAUAACAAUGUAAUGAAAUCAUUAUGCAUCUUUCAGCUCUUGAAUAUUUAUAUUUAGUACUAUGAAUGAAUACUGCUGACCAUAAUGUCCUGUCAUUGUAAUUUAUAUGAAAAAAUACAAAACAUUGAUAAAUUUGUCCAUUCAUGCUAACUUACAGUGUAAGUGGCAUACAGUAUGUCUUCUAUAACUCUGAAUACUGUUGUCAUUUGCUGUCUUUGCAUACCAUGUUUAAGUGCUUCUGUGUGUGCUCAAACUACAGAUUACAAAACUACAGAUUACAGAUUGUGAAGUGAACAAACAUUUGGCAAAAUUAAUGUCAUGUCUGCCUUCACUGUAAAACACGUUAAAACCAAAGUAUACGUUGGCCUUUAGACCCGUGCAUUUCAAUGCAAGGAGUGGUAUUUCAUUUACUGUAAAAAUAAUGUAGUGUAAUCUUUUAUUGAAAAAAAAAAAAAUAAAGUCAUAAAUUUUGCCA
ensembl:lncRNA